CGUUCUUCUCACCGGCGGUCCUGUAAAUCCUGGUUCUCCCGGGCUUCCAACGUCCCCUUUGCGUCCUUGUGCUCCUGGAAACCCACGAUCCCCCUACAAACAGAGCAGUUACAUCACAAAGGUAGGCCGGGAUAGCCUUCUCCCUUCAGCCCUGGUGGUCCAAUGGGUCCUCGUAACCCCAUUUCACCCUAAAGACAGACAAAAUGGAUUAUCUUAGUCACAAAAGCACAGUGUAGCUUUCUGCUGGGACGUCACUCUUACCUUCGGCCCUGCAAUGCCUAUCCCUGGUUCUCCAGCAAGUCCUGGUGGACCAACUGGCCCUGGAUCUCCCUACAGCAAGAUGAACAUGGUCAUGUCUAACAGUUUAGUUGAAACUACAACCUACUUUUGGUCCUGGUUCUCCAAUUCCUCUUUCUCCAGUGGCUCCAGGAUCUCCAGGGUAUCCCUGUUCUCCCUGAGAGCAAACAAAACGAAAACACACUGUUUAGAUAUCAUUCAAAAGUUAGCGAUUGGUAAUAUUUUUUGUUGUUGUUGUUUUUGACAGAAGUCUCUUCUGCUCACCAACGCUGCAUUUAUUUGAUCAAAAAUACAGUAAAAACAGUAAUAAUGUGAAAUAUUAUUAAAAUUUCAAAUAACGGUUUUCUAUUUGAAUAUAUUUUAACAUGUAAUUUAUUAAUACUCCAGUCUUCAGUGUCACAUGAUCUUUCAGAAAUCAUUCUAAUAUGCUGAUUUGCUGCUCAAGAAAUAUUUCUAGUUAUUAUCAAUGUUAAAAACAGUUGUGCUGCUUCAUAUUUUUUUUUGUAAAAAUCAUGAUACAUUUUUUUUUUAGGAUUCUUCAAAGAAUCAAAAGAACAGUAUUUAUUUGAAAUAGAUUUUUUUUUUUUUUUUGUAACAAUGUAAAUGUCUUUACUCUCACUUUUUACCAAUUUAAUGCAUCCUUGCUGAAUAAAA